rnacentral:rRNA from 1 species
UAAUGGUCGAACAGACCAACCAACGAAAGCUGCUACACCCUCAGGACACCUUAAUCCAACAUCGAGGUCGCAAACUUUUCUUUCAAUGUGAACUCUCCAGAAAGAUUACGCUGUUAUCCCUGUGGUAACUUUUUCCGAUAAUCAACAAUGCUGGAUCACCAGUCAGUCCACCAAAUUAAGUUAAACAAACAACAGAGAAGCUAUCCAUGUUCCCUAGUCACCCCAACUAAAGAUGUAAAAGUAAAUCUAAACUUUCUAUUAAUAAUAGAAAUGCCACUCUCUACCCAACACUAAAGCUCAACAGGGUCUUCUCGUCCCUCAGCUCAAUCUAGGCCUUUUCACCUAGAAGUUAAUUUUUAAAUUAUUCCAAAAGAGACAGCUCAACCCUCGUCAAACCAUUCAUACCAGCCUCUAAUUAAAGGGCAAGUGAUUGUGCUACCUUUGCACGGUCAGUGUACCGCGGCCGUUUAACCCGUAGUCACCGGGCAGGUCCGACUCCUCAUUUAAUUAAUAACCGAAGAGCCAUGUUUUUGCUAAACAGGCGAGGCCGACAUUUGCCGAGUUCCUUUUCUGCAAUUUAAUUUUUACACUAAACACACUAAAUCAAGUCGUAGCUUACUUACUUUAAUAAACAAAAGCAACUAAAUAAAAAUAAAUACUCAUUUUCUCAUUAAAAUAAACUUAGUUACAUUAGUAAAGUCGGUACUAAAACAAUUUAAUUAAAUUAAAACAAACUUAAAACCGAUUCCCAAGCCUACUAAACCCGAUUCCAAGCCUACUAAACCGCCUCCAACACUACUAACCAUGACUUUUUAACAACAUGAGAAAGCUAAUCCUUUCUCACACAAGACUUGAUUUUCAAAUCCUUGCCAGAAAACUUCCAUAAAAUUCAUCCCAAGGCAAAAAUCAUAAAUCAAGCCGGCACUCUAAUGCCUUUCCCGACCAACCAGCUAUCAAAAAACGCGAAAAGAAAUAUCACUCCUAUUUUUAAGUCUGAGCACAUCUUUACAACGAUGACGCAACGUAAAAAAUAGCUCGUUUUCUUUCGGGCCAACUUUAUCUAAAAAACC